UACGGAGGGAGCUAGCGUUGUUCGGAAUUACUGGGCGUAAAGUGUGCGCAGGCGGCGCCGCAAGUCGAGUGUGAAAGCCCCGGGCUUAACUUGGGAAUUGCGCUCGAAACUAUGGUGCUGGAGUGUGGCAGAGGAAGGUGGAAUUCCACGUGUAGCGGUGAAAUGCGUAGAGAUGUGGAGGAACACCGAUGGCGAAGGCAGCCUUCUGGGCCAACACUGACGCUCAUGCACGAAAGCGUGGGGAGCAAACAGG
rnacentral:rRNA from 1 species